rnacentral:rRNA from 1 species
GAUGAACGCUAGCGGCAGGCUUAACACAUGCAAGUCGAGGGGCAGCGUGGAGCAGCAAUGCUCUGACGGCGACCGGCGGAAGGGUGCGUAACACGUGAGCGACUUGCCCGUCACAGGGGGAUAACCGGCGGAAACGGCGACUAAUACCCCAUACGAUGCGAUGCUGCAUGGCAUUGCAUUGAAAGAUUCAUCGGUGGCGGAUAGGCUCGCGGGACAUUAGCUAGACGGCGGGGCAACGGCCCACCGUGGCGACGAUGUCUAGGGGUUCUGAGAGGAAGGCCCCCCACACUGGGACUGAGACACGGCCCAGACUCCUACGGGAGGCAGCAGUGAGGAUAUUGGUCAAUGGGCGGAAGCCUGAACCAGCCAUGCCGCGUGAAGGACUAAGGCCCUACGGGUCGUAAACUUCUUUAGACGCAGAGCAAUAAGGUCCACGUGUGGACCGAUGAGAGUAUGCGUAGAAUAAGC